CCUACGGGGGGCAGCAGUGAGGAAUAUUGGUCAAUGGACGCGAGUCUGAACCAGCCAAGCCGCGUGCGGGAAGAAGGCACAGUGAGUUGUAAACCGCUUUUGUACGAGGACAAACGCGGAGACGCGUACCUGGCUGAGGGUAGCGGACGAAUAAGGAUCGGCUAACUCCGUGCCAGCAGCCGCGGUAAUACGGAGGAUGCAAGCGUUAUCCGGAUUUAUUGGGUUUAAAGGGUGCGCAGGCGUCCUGUUAAGUCAGAGGGAAAAGCCCGGGGCUCAAUCCCGGAAUGCCGCUGAUACAGGGCGGCUGGAGUUUAGUUGCGGUACGCGGCAUG
rnacentral:rRNA from 1 species